UUAUUUACAUUACAAGCUGCGUAAGGAAACUUUUUUGUCGAGGUGGAUUUGACGGGCCGAGGCAACGCCGAGGCCCGGCAAACCUCCGAGACUUAAGAAAGGAGUUACGCAGCGUGUAUUGUAUUACGUUUUUUCUGCUACCGACACCAGUAACACUAAAAAGUAAUAAUUCUAGUAACUAAAAAAUAUUUAAGAAAUUAUCAGGAACUCAUUGAACGUAUUCAUUUCCGUAGCAACAAGAUAAAAAAAUUUGUUUACAAGCAAUAGAAGAAGCUGCCAAUAUUGCUUGCGCAUGUCUGUUACCUGAAAAAUCGAAAUUCCGUUAUAAUGAAACUUACAACGCAUUUUCAAUUUGGUAUACAUCACGAAACAUUCAAGAUGUUAAUGAAACCGUAAUGUUUGGUUAUUUUAAGGAAAGAUCCGAAGCCCGCAAGUCUCCUAGCAGUUUAUGGUGUGAAUAUUCAAUGCUGAAAUUAACGUCGUGUCAGUUCUUCUGUUUGUUACCUCAAUUAUAUAAGAAAAUGUUGGAAGCUCAUGCAGUUGAUGAAAAUGUGACAGUUACUAAUUUUGAAAUAACUUCAAAUAAUAAUCCUUUAAUAAAUAUUACUGAGUGUAGUGUUACAGUUAAUAUUAAUAAAUAAUUAUAAAAGAAA